rnacentral:lncRNA from 1 species
UGGCUAUUUAGACAUUGGUAUUGCUCUCAAAAAUUAAGUUGGGUUAAUUAGAGCAUGUACUGUAUGCCUAUAAAAGACUAAAUCAGGCUCUGUCUCAGGAGCCAGACGUGAGUGCUUUUCAAAAACUGAAUGUGACCCUGACAACUUAAAAUGUAAAGUAUAUUGAAAGUACUUGCUAGUUAGAGAUUCUGCUGCCUCCGAAGCUCCUUUAACAGGGUUGUUUUGUUUUGUUUUUCAUUAUUUUUAAAGGUCUUUCCUUAUUUAAAAAUAUUUUUUCUUUAAUACUUUAACAGAAAUCAACCCACAGAACAGUACGAAAAUGAAUAUGGAAAUACCAGUAUGAAAGAAAUCAGGAGACCUGUUUAUCUGCCAUGUUCUGCCAAAUGAACAAUCAGAAAAUGUGUGUUUUUUUUUUUCUCCUCAUGGCUUUUGCAGUUACAAGAAUUUAGGAAAAGUGAGAGCCUUAACCAGUGAUUAAGAAAUAAUGAUGUUAACGAAACAAGUCUGAAAAUUUUCAUCUUUUUCAUCAUCUCCUUUGAAGGUUUACAUAAAAGAAGAUGCGGUAAUUUUACGUGGAAAUCUGGAGCAGUGUGAUGCAAUCGUAAAACCAGAAUUCUGUAUUAUGUCUCCGGUGCCCAGCAUUUCUGGUCGACUGCCACCCAGCCCGCCAGAAACGCAGGGCCUAGGGACCUGGCAUGAACCAUAUGAAUUCAGUGUGUGUGUUUUCUCCAGCAGAAGAUUAAUGAAGAUACUUUUCUGAAGAUGCUGAGUUUGAGUCACCUCCUAUUCAUGGUGAAGUAUCUCCAAGGAAGGAAAGUGUGUGCAACCCUAUGGCUGGCAUUAUAUACAUGUAUUCCCUGGCAUCAUCCUCCAUUGCAGAGCUGCAUCUCUGUUCAUUUUAAGAGUUACAGCAGUCUGAAUAAUAGAAGUGAUGUACCUUAGGAAUCAGAGAAUUGGGCCUUCUACCUGUCUGGAUGUGCUGUAUAAAGGAAGGACUCGUAUGCUAUGGAACCUCAGUCCUGGUGGUUAAAUGGGAUUUAUAUGCAUAAAGCCAGAUUGGCAAACAAGUGUAAGAACCCAACAAGAAAAACUGGAACAGAGUGCCUGAAUACAUAAAUAACUGAAAAUCAAACUAAUCAAAUUUCCCUCUACAUUUUCGACUUAAAUAUCAGUGAUUCCAGCCCUG